ensembl:lncRNA AABR07064584.1
ACUCCAGCAUCUGAGGCUUGGUUAGCAGUUACUCUUGCUUGAAUGUGGUUGUGACUCUUAAUAGUUUAUGGUUUGGAAGCUUGGUCUAUGGUAUAGUGAUGCUGAGGUGUUUCUGUCAUUGUGACUCAUCUUCUGUGGGCUCCUUAUGAGAACUGAGAGUAGACUGCCUGCUUGAUGCUCCUGGAUUUUCAAAAGUUUGAAUUGUCUAAAUCUAAUUUUUAUAAAGUACCCAAUAUCAAAUAUUUUAUUAUAGUAAUAGAAAAUGGGUUCUAUACUGGUACUAAUGUUCUCUCAUAGUUAGUUUGGACCGGAGAUGAGAAUAUUGAUUGUUCACUGCCAUGUUUAUUCUGUCUGAAUCUGAGAAGUGCCACAGUUUAAAGUUCCCAUAAGUGAAUAUUUAUUGAAUAAAACCCACUGGAUGAUGAGGUUUCAUCUUGUUUGUGUUUAUGAAUAUUUCAAAUAAGAAAACCCUGAGAAU